UGGGGAAUAUUGCACAAUGGGCGCAAGCCUGAUGCAGCCAUGCCGCGUGUAUGAAGAAGGCCUUCGGGUUGUAAAGUACUUUCAGCGGGGAGGAAGGGAGUAAAGUUAAUACCUUUGCUCAUUGACGUUACCCGCAGAAGAAGCACCGGCUAACUCCGUGCCAGCAGCCGCGGUAAUACGGAGGGUGCAAGCGUUAAUCGGAAUUACUGGGCGUAAAGCGCACGCAGGCGGUUUGUUAAGUCAGAUGUGAAAUCCCCGGGCUCAACCUGGGAACUGCAUCUGAUACUGGCAAGCUUGAGUCUCGUAGAGGGGGGUAGAAUUCCAGGGGUAGCGGUGAAAUGCGUAGAGAUCUGGAGGAAUACCGGUGGCGAAGGCGGCCCCCUGGACGAAGACUGACGCUCAGGUGCGAAAGCGUGGGGAGCAAACAGG
rnacentral:rRNA from 2 species